AUUAAUUGACUAAUUGUAGACACAAAACAGAAUGUGUUAACAUUCUUUAAAGUGAAUAUAUAUAAUUUAAAAAUAAUAAUUUUCCUAAAAUAUAGUGUUAUUAUAAUAUGUGAUAUAAUAAUGGAGGUGAGUGAAAGGUAAUAAAUGCUAUAAAAUUAAUAGACAUUGUAAACAAACACAUUCAUUUAGAAAUGGGAAAAAAGAAGAAACAAUUUAAAUAUUUCAUAGUUUAAAGUAGAGAUUAAAAACUACAACUAUAGACGAUUUAGAAAAUAUGGGAAAUGAGAACAUCAUAAGGAAUGAGGCCAAAAUUGUGUUCAGCAAAUUGAUAUUCUUAAGGGAGUUCAUUAUUCAACAAGCAAGCAUUCAACCUAAGAAAAACAAACUGAACCAACUUAAGGAAAGCAGUGGUAAGAAUGAAAUAUUAAGUAAACUAUUAACAGAAAUCUCUGACUUAGAAAACAGAAAAACUGUAGAAUUAAUACAUUAAUUUAAGAGCCAAUUCACUGAAAAACCAAUAUCUUUGUCAAGAAAACCUUGGGAAAAUAGAGACGGAAAGAGAAAAAAAAUUUUUAAAGAGAAAUAAGAUAAAAUUAUAGGCAUAGAAGUGGUUAAACUUUUAUAUUAAAAAGUUCUCUUCUGUAAGAAGAAUUACUGAAGUUUAUACAAAUGGAACAAUAGGAAGGCUGGGACUUGUUUUAAAAUACAGUGCUUCGGGCUUCCCUGGUGGCGCAGUGGUAGAGAGUCCGCCUGCCGAUGCCGGGGCCACGGGUUCGUGCCCCGGUCUGGGAAGAUCCCACAUGCUGCGGAGGGGCUGGGCCCGUGAGCCAUGACCGCUGAGCCUGUGCGUCUGGAGCCUGUGCUCCGCAACGGGAGAGGCCACAACAGUGAGCGGCCCGCGUAUGGAAAAACAAAACAAAAAAAAUUUACAGUGCUUCUUGGCUAUGAGAUGAGUAAGGUCUGAGGAUCUAAUGUAUAACAUGGUGGCUAUGGUUGUUAAUACUGUAUUGUGCUUUGAAAUUUGCUUAAGAUUUUAGAUCUUAAAUGUUCUCACCAAGAAAAAAAAGAUAAAUAUGUGAUAAGAUGGAUGUGUUAAUUAACAAGAUUGGGGGAGUCCUUUCACAAUGUGUACGCCUAUCAAACUAUCAUUAUGUAUACUUUAGAUAUCUUACAUUUUUAUUUGUUAAUUAUGCCUCAGUAAAGCUGAAAAAAAUAUAGGGCUCCAUUUAUAAAAGGUGAUUGAGGAAUAAAUGAAAGAAUAUUGGCAAGAAUGUUGAUUACUUUUAAGCUGGGUAGUGUAUAUGUGGAGAUCCAUUACAUAUUCUCUCUCAUUUUAUGUGUGCAUAAAAAUUUCUGCAGUUAAAAGUUGAAAAAUUUAAAAGAGAAUGUCAUGUUUGACUCUAUGGUAAUACAUUUAGAAAUCUUCCUAAUGAAGUAGAUGGUUUUCUGAGAAAACACAUUACUAAAACUGACUCAAGAAGUAGAAAAUCUGAAAGAAAAGCAACCCUGGAAGAACUUAUAAAAGAAUUACCUCCAAAAGAGAUUCUGAGAUCUGUUAAUGUUAUUAGUGCAUUUCUUCAAGAAACACCAAAUUCUUAUGCUCUGUAAAUUAUGUCGAAAUAAAUGAUACCAUCAAAUUCAUUCUAUAAAGUUAGCGUAACCUUACCGCUAGGACCUGAUAAGUGAACAACAAAAAUACGAAACUAGAACAGUUUUAUGUGCAAGUAUUUAUGGGAAAUUUCUAAAUGAAAUGACAAAGAAAUUAAACUCAGUUGCAUUCAGCUGAUCAAUCUCCACUUAAGCAAUUCAUCAGAUUAAGAAAAGUUCAUCAUUUCCUCUGUAAAACAUACUGACUGAUGACCACAGAAGGACGAACGCUCAAGAUCAGUUUGCUCUGGUGUGUUCUUGCAGUUUUGUUCAGAUAAUAGCAUGUUUCCAAACCAGUUUAUGUCAGUUUUAUUUGUUUCGGUAUUUAUGCAAUCUAAUUAAGCAUUUGUGUACACUGAUAAAAUAUGAUUGUGGAAAAAAGAAUUGUUCCUGUGAAAGCUAAAUUGAAUAUAUUGGGAGAACUCGACACAAGUGAGGCAGUAAAAAAGGAUGAGACAAGUGUAAAAUUUGGGAAAAAUUGCUCUCCUCUCUGCUGUCUUUGCUGUGAGCUUUAUCCUAAAUGGAUUCCCCAAGCUGGUUGACAGUAGCUCCUGAGGUUAUGUGCUUCAUUGUUCUUGUUUAGGAAUAGGAGUGUCUUUGUGUCAGUAUUUAAAGCACCUUAUUAGACCGAUUUGGGUCACAUGCCCACCCUGGACCAAUCAUAGGGCACGGCUUAUGCUGAUUGACUUGGUCAAGGUCUAUACCACAGCUGGGGUUGGGGGUGGAGCCAGCUUUUCUGGACCCACUUGUAUCCCCUGAAAAGCGUUAGGAGGCUACCGGGAAGGGGGUGAGUGUGGACACUGGGGAGAUAAUCAACAAAUAUCUUUUAUAUUAAUGCAGAUUAUGUCAUCAACAUAGUCAAUUAAAAAAAAAAACAUGGUAAUUGUAAUGGAGUAAAAGACAUUCUCUAUAAAAAUAUUUGGCAGAUUAAAGAGUAAAACACUAAUAUCCCCAAAGAAAAAUGGGCAAAGUUCGUAAACAGAACGGGCCAAUAAGUAUGUGGAAGGUACGUAAUUUCAAUAGUAAUCAAAGAAAUGAAAAUAAAAGCUAUUAUGUCAUACCACUUUUUGCUUAAUCAGCUGACUAAGUAUUAUGCAAGGAGCAGGGUUGUCCCAAAUAACCCUGUGUGCUUACCUGGUGUUGUAGACAGAAUUGCACCCCCAACAAGAUUCACAGGUUGAAGCUCUAACCCUCUAUGUGACUGAUUUGGAGAUAAGCCCUUUAAGGAGAUAAUUAAGAUUAAACGAGGUAAUAAGUGAGAGGCCCUAACAAUAAGAUUGGUCCUUAUAGGAAGAGGAGGAGAUACCAGGAGCACAUGUGCUCAAAGAAAGCCCAUGCGAGGACACAGUGAUGAGAAGGAAGCCGAGGAGAGAGGCCUCAGGAGAAAUGAAAUCUGCCAACACCUUGAUCUUGGACUUCCAGCCUGCAGAAUUAAAAAUGUAUAUUGAAGAGGAUUAAUCAUACUUCUGAAUACAAGUGUCAUGGCAUCAGGAAUGGCAUCAGAACAUCCUUCUGAAAAGUUCCAAUUAAAAUAGGAAUCCUAAAUAAUCCAGGACCCACUGUUGGAGCAUACUCUCUCAGUUGUGUUGAGAGACUUCCCUGCUGGUAUUUUAGAGAUACAGCUGAAGCCAGACAGAUCAAGCUGCUUCUCAUUCUUAUCCCAAGAAGCUGGCUGACUGCAGGGCCUCCGGACUCUGUCAGAUGUGUUGCACGGUCUAAUCAAUAGACCCAGAAAAGGAAGAUAGAUCUCGGUGUCAGCAUGGAGGAAACAUGCAUGGGGUGCUGGAUUCUAGAUCAGGUACGGAGGAAAAGCCAAGGAGAGAAAGCAGCCAUCCCUGUCACACGUUCUUGGUGUCAUUUUCCUGAUGCUGACUACGUAUCAGAAGCUACUGGAAAUGUACCCAUAAAAAUAAGAGAUUAAAUCAAGAAUGAGGAAGCUGUGGAAUCCAGGAAAAAAAGGAAACAUAAAAAGAACUACACUGAGAUAAUAUUUUCCCCUGCUUAUCAGAUUGUCAAAGAUUAAAAAGAUCAGUCUCUGUGACUUGCAAGAUCCCCCAAAGGCAGGCACUGUGACUUCAUCUCUGAAUCCCUACAAACCAGCACAUAACAUCAAAAAGAACUAGUUCCUUGCUUCCCUGGUGGCACAGUGGUUAAGAAUCCACCUGCCAAUUCAGGGGACACGGGUUCAAUCCCUGGACCGGGAAGAUCUCACAUGCCACAGAGCAACUAAGCCUCUGUGCCACAACUACUGAGUCUGUGCUCUAGAGCUAGCGAGCCACAACUACUGAACUCGCGAGCCACAACUACUGAAGUCCACGCACCUACAGCCCAUGCUCUGCAACAAGAGAAGCCACCGCAAUGAGAAGCCUGCGCACCUCAACAAAGAGUAACCCCUGCUUGCCACAACUAGAGAAAGCCCGCUCAUAGCAGUGAAGACCCAACACAGCCAAGAAUAAAUAAAUAAAAUUAAAAAAAAAAGUAGCUCCUACUACUGAUUUUAAA